rnacentral:rRNA from 1 species
GACAGAGGGUGCGAACGUUGCUCGGAAUCACUGGGCGUAAAGCGCGCGUAGGCGGACCGGAAAGUCGGUUGUGAAAUCCCUGGGCUCAACCCAGGAACUGCAUCCGAAACUCCCGGUCUCGAGUGACGGAGAGGAUAGUGGAAUUCCCGGUGUAGCGGUGGAAUGCGUAGAGAUCCGGAAGAACACCGGUGGCGAAGGCGGCCUGCUGGGCAGUUGCUGACACUGAGGCGCGACAGCGUGGGGAGCAAACAGG